UGAGGUUCAUGUCCCGUUCCAGCACUCUCGUAUCCCUGAUCAUCAACCCGGUGGAAAGUGGUGUGAUCGCUGUGUGAAAAUGUGUGCAAGAAGGACAGCAGAGUACGAGGAGGAACUUUGGGGCCCAAAAGAGGAGAAGAAGCCACAACUACUGGAUGCUGUGUUCAAUCUGCAGCCUCAAACUGUGCUACACAGAGCAGGCCACACAUCAUGAUCAUGUGAUGAGCAGUCAUUUACUACAAUGGAGAACUACCGUACAGAAAGUGAUCACUGCAAACACGGCUGGUACUGGAAGGCUGCCAACCCUCCCCUGUUAUGGCGGCAAUCCACAUCUAUUUUUUUUUUGUGGGUCCGCAGGAAAUCGAUCAAAAGACCUUUUUUCUUGUUUCAUCUUGUCUAUGACAGCCCAUUGCCACGCAAGUAGUAACCAUUCUUAUCUUACACUCUGUUUUACACAGAGAAAACAGAUCAUUUUAAAAACUUUACUGUGAUAAGACAACAAGUGUCUGCCUUCCAAAGCUUGCUUAUUAAUAUAGCGCCAUAAAAAAAAGUCAUGUGGUUUUGGUUACGUAGUUGUAAAACCUCCAUAGAGAAACACCUAAGGACACGACCACUGGUGUAAUUAGUGCAUGAAAACCCAACAGCUGUGUAGUAACGCUCUCCCAGGUGAGCCAUUUCAGCCUGGUUCCUGAGAAAACAUCACCUGGUUGCAACUCAUUUAAUUGACCUAAAAAGCCAUGCUGAAACCAGGGACCUUUAGAUCUUCAGUCUAACGCUCUCCCAACUGAGCUAUUUUAGCUUCAUGUCUUGAGACCCAUUGCAACUCAUUGAGAAGGCCUAAAAGCGGUGGACACGACCACUGAUGAAAGAACAACAAAAGCCCAUUUACCAAAACCUUUCUAUGAUUGGGCACAAUAUGAGGUGCAAUCACAACAACGCGAGCAGAACUGCCAUAACUCAGGACCCUCAGAUCUUGAGCUUUUACUUUCUACUGGUUGCAAUUCAUUUAAAGAGCCGACACAGAAACACCGUAGGACAUGACCAGUGGUGUAAUAAGUGCCAGAAAACACACAGUGUAUAACAUGCCAACAUUUGAACAAUAGAGGAUCCGACAAGUAGCAAUUCAUUGGCAAACGGUUCAGCAUGUACCCUGCCUCCUGCCUGAUAAUAGCUGAGAGAGGCUCUCCUGCACCCUUCCUGAGGAAAACCAUGUCAGAUAAUAGAUGGAUGGAUCGAUCCUUCAGCAGAGGGUGAGUGUUUAGAUCAUCUUCCCCACGGGUCUGAGGUGUUGGGUUCAAAUCCCAGCCCUACCCGCGUGGUAUUUGCCAGUUUUCCCCAUGCCCCUGUGGGAUUUCUUUGGAUGCUCCGGUCUCCUCCCACAUCCCCAAAACAUGGAUGGUUGGUUAAUUAAAGACUCUGAAUUGCCUGUAGGUUUGGAUGUGAGCCUGGCUUGUUACUUCUUUUUCUUUGCCCUGCGAAUGGCUUGCCAACAGUCCAGAGUACACCCUGCCUCCUGCCUGCCCUCCCACGACCUGAGUGAGGCUAAGCGGAGCGAAAGAUGGAUGAAUACAUGAACUAUACAAACGGAACAUUAGAGCCACAACUCCAAUUUUGCUUAAAAAAUAUUUAGAUAAGUGAUCCAUGAUAUAGGCGGCAUGGUGGCGCAGCUGGUGAAGCAUUGACCUGACAGUUCUGAGGUCCCGGGUUCAAUCCUGGACCCGCCUGUGUAGAGUUUGCAUGUUCUCCCCGUACCUGCGUGGGUUUUCUCCCGGCACUCCGGUUUCCUCCCACAUCCCAAAAACGUGCAACAUUAAUUGGACACUCUAAAUUACCACUAAGUGUGAUUGUGAGUGCGGUUGUUUGUCUCAAUGUGCCCUCCGAUUGGCUGGCAACCACUUCAGGGUGUACCUCACUUCCUGCCCGUUGACAGCUGGGAUAGGCUCUGGCACUCCCCGCGACCCUUGUGAGGAUAAGCAGCUAAGAAAAUUGAUGGAUCCAUGAUAUAGUUGACGGUGCUUGGUUACUUUCCACCACUUGGAUCAAAUUUUUAUACUAAAGUCUGAAAUCAUGUGGUAUGAACAAAUGUAACACAGAUCACUAACCACUCUUUGAUCUCAAUGGGCCUGGCAUGUUGACUUCGCAACAAGGUUGAAAACCUGCAGGAUGCUGAGCCAGCACCACUGAAGUAAGAAUAAUUUUAUUGUGUUGUUUUUCCAUAUUUAAAAGAUGUUUCGCAAUAGCUUCGUAUAUGUUUCGCAAUAGCUUCGUAUAUGUUUCGCAAUAGCUUCAUAUAUGUUUCGCAAUAGCUUCGUAUAUGUUCGCAAUAGCUUUGUAUAACCUAAAAGAUGUUCGCAAUAGCUCUGUAUAACCAGCGAAGUCAUAAAAGGAUGUUUCAACAUAACAUAUGAGGUCGUGCAACGCCAUCUGUUGGUAACAAAGAAUAGUGUGGCGUUAGGCGGGCUGAAUUGGCCACUCACCCCUCCUUCCGCACACGCUUAGAGUAUAAAAGGAGAACUUUGGAUACUCUCGGUAGAGUCUGCUGCGGGUUGCGUAAGGACGCCCAGCCGGUAUUGAAGGUCGCUCUACCGGGAGUGUUGGCUCUCCCUCCUAUUGGCGCACGGUAAGAGCUGGAUAUUCUUCUAAGAGCUGGUUGGA